GUUCAAAUAACGAAUAACCAAUAUGUAAAACCCGAACCCGUUAAGGGUAUCAAAUUCCAAACCCGAACUCGUCUUAAACAUAUUACCCAAAUCCGUCACGGCUAUUAAAUUCCAAACAUGAACUCGUCCUAAACACACUACCCAAACCCAUCUUAUUAGAAUCCAAUAUCUUAUUAGAAUUAUUGGAUGAGGUACCCACAAAAACCCAACCCUUUGCCAUCCUUACUUACGGACAACCUUAGAACCAUCCAUGUAAAAUUCUGCGACCAAUUUCCAUAUGGGGUGCAUUUGCCUGAGAUACUCCUAAGUUUUCUUCAAAAGUAAAACUUUUAUACACCUAAAAACAUUUCUUUAUGGCCACCACAUGCAUUACUUUGUAAUUUAUUACAUCAUGCGAGCAUAUAAAAAUAUGGGCAUAUUUAAUCAGGCAUCUAUAAUGAGAAAUUUUUCACCUCUAAUUUACCUGAAGGCACACACACUAGAGAAGGGAAAAAAAUAUGGCAAAAUGAAGCCUGUCUGUUCUUAAUUGCUUGUUUCUCAACAUAUUUAUUUACAUAGCUAAAUACUUUUUGAACAUCAAAAUAACGGAAACAGAUUCGAGAAAAGAAUGAAGGUUUUCCACGAGGCAGACACGAUGUAUACAAAGAUCAAUUUUCUAGCAAGAAACAUAAGACCUUAUUAAUUCCCCAAAAAGACAACAAGAUAGCAAACCGAAAAUGAGAAAUGAGCCAUUGAAGGAAGAUAACAUAC
rnacentral:misc_RNA from 1 species